rnacentral:tRNA from 3 species
GGGUCGUUAGCUCAGUCGGUAGAGCAGUUGACUCUUAAUCAAUUGGUCGCAGGUUCGAUCCCUGCACGACCCA